UCUAAAACUCAAAGGAAUUGAGGGGGGCCCGCACAAGCGGUGGAGCAUGUGGUUUAAUUCGACGCAACGCGCAGAACCUUACCAGCCCUUGACAUGUCCAGGACCGGUCGCAGAGAUGUGACCUUCUCUUCGGAGCCUGGAGCACAGGUGCUGCAUGGCUGUCGUCAGCUCGUGUCGUGAGAUGUUGGGUUAAGUCCCGCAACGAGCGCAACCCCCGUCCUUAGUUGCUACCAUUUAGUUGAGCACUCUAGGGAGACUGCCGGUGAUAAGCCGCGAGGAAGGUGGGGAUGACGUCAAGUCCUCAUGGCCCUUACGGGCUGGGCUACACACGUGCUACAAUGGCGGUGACAAUGGGAUGCAAAGGGGCGACCCCUAGCAAAUCUCAAAAAA
rnacentral:rRNA from 1 species